rnacentral:rRNA from 1 species
CAGGAUUAGAUACCCUGGUAGUCCACGCCGUAAACGAUGUCGACUUGGAGGUUGUGCCCUUGAGGCGUGGCUUCCGGAGCUAACGCGUUAAGUCGACCGCCUGGGGAGUACGGCCGCAAGGUUAAAACUCAAAUGAAUUGACGGGGGCCCGCACAAGCGGUGGAGCAUGUGGUUUAAUUCGAUGCAACGCGAAGAACCUUACCUGGUCUUGACAUCCUCAGAACUUUCCAGAGAUGGAUUGGUGCCUUCGGGAACUGUGAGACAGGUGCUGCAUGGCUGUCGUCAGCUCGUGUUGUGAAAUGUUGGGUUAAGUCCCGCAACGAGCGCAACCCUUAUCCUUUGUUGCCAGCGGUCCGGCCGGGAACUCAAAGGAGACUGCCAGUGAUAAACUGGAGGAAGGUGGGGAUGACGUCAAGUCAUCAUGGCCCUUACGACCAGGGCUACACACGUGCUACAAUGGCGCAUACAAAGAGAAGCGACCUCGCGAGAGCAAGCGGACCUCAUAAAGUGCGUCGUAGUCCGGAUUGGAGUCUGCAACUCGACUCCAUGAAGUCGGAAUCGCUAGUAAUCGUGGAUCAGAAUGCCACGGUGAAUACGUUCCCGGGCCUUGUACACACCGCCCGUCACACCAUGGGAGUGGGUUGCAAAAGAAGUAGGUAGCUUAACCUUCGGGAGGGCGCUUACCACUUUGUGAUUCAUGACUGGGGUGAAGUCGUAACAAGGUAACC